rnacentral:rRNA from 1 species
ACUCAAAUGAAUUGACGGGGACCCGCACAAGCAGUGGAGCAUGUGGUUUAAUUCGAUGCAACGCGAAGAACCUUACCCAGGCUUGACAUGCAGUAGACAGGUUUAGAGAUAGACCCUUCCUUCGGGACUGCUGCACAGGUGCUGCAUGGCUGUCGUCAGCUCGUGCCGUGAGGUGUUGGGUUAAGUCCCGCAACGAGCGCAACCCUUAUCGUUAGUUGCCAACAUGUAAAGAUGGGAACUCUAACGAGACUGCCUGGGUUAACCAGGAGGAAGGUGAGGAUGACGUCAAGUCCGCAUGGCCCUUAUGUCUGGGGCUACACACGUGCUACAAUGGUCGGUACAGAAGGCAGCGAAGCCGCGAGGUGGAGCAAAUCCUGUAAAGCCGAUCUCAGUUCAGAUUGUAGUCUGCAACUCGACUACAUGAAGACGGAAUUGCUAGUAAUGGCGUGUCAGCAACAACGCCGUGAAUACGUUCCCGGGUCUUGUACACACCGCCCGU